rnacentral:lncRNA from 1 species
GUGCGGACUCCAUGCAUUUUCACCCUUCAAUGAUUGAUUACUUCUGUUUCUGACCAUCAUCACCUGGCCCCCGGCCCCGCUCAUCCUUCAGAACUUCUCAAACGAUGAGGAUAUCGGCAUGGUAGCAUUGUGGGUCAAAUUGUGUGCGCAGAAGAGCCGCAUCCAGCACAUGUCCCCAAAGGCCCAGCUUGCAUUCCUGGACAAGCACAAGGCAACCCAUGGCUAAACGUUCGUCGAAACAGAUACACGACAAGGCCACCAACCGGCUACUGAAGCACAUACGUGACAUCCAGUGUGUGGAGUGUGGGACCGGCUUCAAUGUCAACUCAAUCUGGGACCUUGAGGAAAGUGAGUGUCAGGAGGUCUUAUUACGGCUAAAGAUCUCCAAGUGGUUCACCUCUGAGGUGGGUGCACAGUGGGGCUUNNNNNNNNNNNNNNNNNNNNNNNNNNNNNNNNNNNNNNNNNNNNNNNNNNCACCUCAGAGGUGAACCACUUAGGGACAGCGGGGAGUCAAGAAUAGGCUCAGCAACAGGAGGCAAGACUGAAGGUUAGAACCCGCUUCUAGUGCCGAGGUAUUUAUGAUUGGUGCCUUUGUGAGGAGGGACGAGACGCACGUUGGUACUGCUUGUGAAUUGGAAGGUGGUAUAUGGCAGCUGUAUAUCUGUUGUUGUCGUCGCCUGGAUUGCAGAUGGCGAACGGGAGUAGCGGCAUGCUUGAUGGAGAGCAGAAGAGAAGCUAGACCCGACCCUAGCCUGAUGGGGAAAGGUGAGGGGGGUACAGUGGACAGAAGACGAGACAGAGGCGGACCUUUUACCGCCUAGGCCGAUCUACCGAUCUAGGCCAGGAAGCUGACGUUGGUGCAACCUUUCGGACGACGCGCUGCUGCCAACCAUUAAGAAAAUGGUGGUCGCCAAUUUGUUUCCCAUGUAAUUACAUUGCCUGCAUCGCCUACCUUGCACAGUGGAAUAGCUGAACCGAGCAUGGCAAGGGAUCAACUCGGCAGCACACACCGCGAGCACCAGAAGAGUUGCUCGAACAGCAAGUGCGAAGUGCAGCCCAGCACCCAGGCUGACUUCCAGCCAGGACUACUGCAGGCAUGCAGCCCGGUUUGGCCACGCUGGUGGAGGGCUGGGCGGGCAAGCCUACCCACCAAGGUGUGGAGGCGCCUGCCACACACCCCUACCCUCUUCAGGCGAGGAGGGCAGUUGCCAGGCGGCUCAGAGAGGAACCCGAAGGCCCCACGUUAUGCAGUAGAAGUGGUGUACAUUCUGUGCUAGAUAGAGCCGACCAGUUGCCGGGCCCAGAGAGGAGAGUAGCCGAUGAGCACAACUGGGCAGUACCACCCGGGCAGUGAAGGGGCAAUGGUCCCGACUUGGUGAUUAACUAGGAGAACAUAGUGGGGAGCUGGGGCGGCUAUUUUGUGUGGAACCUUGAAUAGAGCGCUGGCUGCAUAGCUGUUUGUCGGUUUGUGAGUCUGGCGACGUCCCUGUUGGCCUUCCUAGCCAUCAUUGCGCCUGCACCAGCCGAUGCUGCAGAUGAAUGCUCUGUCUGCUUAUAGUUUCCGCGUUUACCAGUCGCCCAUGGUGCGUUCAACCCUGCCUUACCGAAUUAUACAUCAACUUCAUGGUUUCCGAAUCGGCCGCAGAUGUGUUUGGGCGCAAUUUCUUACGCAUGGCCCGUGAUUGUGUUGCACUACGGCCCGGUCUCAAACAAGACCACCCGCUUCCCAGCGCCAAUCUCAGUUGCGAGAGACAUCUGAGCAAGCCGAAAACCAAAACCUUGUUAAACAAAGCCGAAGGGCCCAGUGCAUACCAUCG